rnacentral:rRNA from 1 species
GAUUGUACUCCUACGGGAGGCAGCAGUGGGGAAUAUUGCGCAAUGGGGGCAACCCUGACGCAGCCAUGCCGCGUGAAUGAAGAAGGCCUCCGGGUUGUAAAGUUCUUUCGGUAGCGAGGAAGGCAUUUAGUUUAAUAGACUAGGUGAUUGACGUUAACUACAGAAGAAGCACCGGCUAACUCCGUGCCAGCAGCCGCGGUAAUACGGAGGGUGCGAGCGUUAAUCGGAAUAACUGGGCGUAAAGGGCACGCAGGCGUUGACUUAAGUGAGGUGUGAAAGCCCCGGGCUUAACCUGGGAAUUGCAUUUCAUACUGGGUAGCUAGAUUACUUUAGGGAGGGGUAGAAUUCCACGUGUAGCGGUGAAAUUCGUAGAGAUGUGGAGGAAUACCGAAGGCGAAGGCAGCCCCUUGGGAAUGUACUGACGCUCAUGUGCGAAAGCGUGGGGAGCAAACAGGAUUAGAAACCCCGGUAGUCCUAG